GGGGCAAUCCCAGCCUCAAGGUCGGACAUUGGACAUAGAGGUACUUCCCCUUCCAGUUAUGGAUAGAAGAGGGAGCACCUUUCAGCAACCCUUUCUUACCGAACUGGAGGGAGAAGUACCACCAGUCCUUUGCCGAGGGGUGGCGCUUGAAGGUGUAAAAAUACCUAAACAAAGGAAGGGAUGGCUGAACUUCGACUAUGUGGC
rnacentral:lncRNA from 1 species